UAGGCGGGCUGGGUUGCCGCAGGUAAUUCCUGAGGAAAGUCCGGGCUCGGAAGGGUUCGAUGCCGGAUAACAUCCGGGGCAGGAAGGGUUUUCAGUUCCGAAUGCUCGGAACGCAAGCUCUCUCCUGUACAGAAAGUGCCACAGAGAAUAUACCGCUGCGCUAAUACGCAGCAAGGGUGAAAAGGUGAGGUAAGAGCUCACCGCAUUUCCGGUAACGGGAAUGGCAUGGCAAACCUCAUCGCGAGCAAGGUCAAACAGCGAUGGAUGACCCGUCCAAGUCGCCAUAAGCGACAAAAUCGCGGGUAGACCGCUGGAAUGCAUCAGUAAUGAUGCAUCGAGAUAGAUGGUAACCAUGUUGAGAGCGCGAAAAUCGCUCAGACAUACAGAACCCGGCUUACAGGCCCGCCUUUUUU
rnacentral:RNase_P_RNA from 1 species